UAAUAUAUCGGAACGUGCCCAGUAGUGGGGGAUAGCCCGGCGAAAGCCGGAUUAAUACCGCAUGAGACCUGAGGGUGAAAGCGGGGGACUCGCAAGAGCCUCGCGCUACUGGAGCGGCCGAUAUCAGAUUAGCUAGUUGGUGGGGUAAAAGCCUACCAAGGCAACGAUCUGUAGUUGGUCUGAGAGGACGACCAGCCACACUGGGACUGAGACACGGCCCAG
rnacentral:rRNA from 1 species